AACGAACGCUGGCGGCAUGCCUAACACAUGCAAGUCGAACGAGACCUUCGGGUCUAGUGUCACACGGGUACGUAACUCUCGGGAAACUGCCCUCUGGGUCGGAACAACAGUUGGAAACGACUGCUAAUACCGGAUAAUGACUUCGGUCCAAAGAUUUAUCGCCUGAGGAUGAGCCCGCGUCGGAUUAGCUUGUUGGUGAGGUAAAAGUUAACCAAGGCGACGAUCCGUUGCUGGUCUGAGAGGAUGAUCAGCCACACUGGGACUGAGAAACGGCACAGACUCCUACGGGAGGAAGCAGUGGGGAAUAUUGGACAAUGGGCGAAAGCCUGAUCCAGCAAUGCCGCGUGAGUAAUGAAGGCCUGAGGGUUGUAAAGCUCUUUUACCCGGGAUGAUAAUGACAGUACCGGGAGAAUAAGCCCCGGCUAACUCCGUGCCAGCCGCCGCGGUAA
rnacentral:rRNA from 1 species